AACGUAGGACACAAGCGUUAUCCGGAGUUACUGGGCGUAAAGGGCGUGUAGGCGGACGUGUAAGUCUAUUCUGAAAGCUCCUGGCUAAACUGGGAGAGGCGAAUGGAGACUGCAUAUCUAGAGUGAGGAAGAGGAAAGUGGAAUUCCGCGUGUAGUGGUGAAAUGCGCAGAUAUCAGGAAGAACACCCGUGGCUAAGGCGGCUCUCUAGUACGGUACUGACGCUGAGACGCGAAAGCGUGGGGAGCGAACAGG
rnacentral:rRNA from 1 species